rnacentral:lncRNA from 1 species
AAUUUUUCCUGCAUUCAUGGUGGGAAAAAAUCCCAAACAAAUUCGAAAUAAAAACAAAGGCUGAUGUCAAUAACCUUCUUGAUGUUUCUCUAAUAAACAAUAAAAUUUUUGAUGAAAAACGUAAACCUCCAGCGCAUUAAAAAAUAUCUUACCAUUGAAGCUUGGAAACAACUAAAAAUUAAGAAUUAAGAUCACGAAAAGAAGGGAAAUGUGCG